UACGUAGGGUGCGAGCGUUGUCCGGAAUUAUUGGGCGUAAAGAGCUCGUAGGCGGCUCAUUGCGUCGGGGUGUGAAAGACCGGAGCUUAACUCCGGUUCUGCAUUCGAUACGGGUGGGCUUGAGUUCGGUAGGGGAGACUGGAAUUCCUGGUGUAGCGGUGAAAUGCGCAGAUAUCAGGAGGAACACCCGUAGCGAAGGCGGCACUCUGGGCCGAUUCUGACACUGAGGAGCGAAAGCGUGGGGAGCGAACAGG
rnacentral:rRNA from 1 species